rnacentral:rRNA from 1 species
CCUACGGGUGGCAGCAGUGAGGAAUAUUGGUCAAUGGACGAGAGUCUGAACCAGCCAAGUAGCGUGAAGGAUGACUGCCCUAUGGGUUGUAAACUUCUUUUAUAUGGGAAUAAAACGUUCCACGUGUGGGAUUUUGUAUGUACCAUAUGAAUAAGGAUCGGCUAACUCCGUGCCAGCAGCCGCGGUAAUACGGAGGGUCCGAGCGUUAUCCGGAUUUAUUGGGUUUAAAGGGAGCGUAGGUGGAUUGUUAAGUUAGUUGUGAAAGUUUGCGGCUCAACCGUAAAAUUGCAGUUGAAACUGGCAGUCUUGAGUACAGUAGAGGUGGGCGGAAUUCGUGGUGUAGCGGUGAAAUGCUUAGAUAUCACGAAGAACUCCGAUUGCGAAGGCAGUUCACUGGACUGCAACUGACACUGAGGCUCGAAAGUGUGGGUAUCAAACAGGAUUAGAUACCCCUGUAGUC